rnacentral:rRNA from 1 species
GUAGUCAUAUGCUUGUCUCAAAGAUUAAGCCAUGCAUGUCUAAGAGUAACCCCAGUAAGGGGAAGUCUGCGAAUGGCUCAUUAAAUCGGUUAUAGUUUAUUUGAAUGUGGUUUGCUACACGGAUAACUGUGGCAAUUCUAGAGCUAAUACGUGCUAAAACUCCCGACUUCGCGGAAGGGAGGCUUGUGUUAGAUACUCGACCGGCUUCCGGUUGAUUCAUGACAUCCAACGUGGACCGCAUAGCCUUGCGCUGGCGGCGUUGCAUUCAAAUUUCCGAUCUAUCAACUUGAUGGUAGGGUAGCGGCCUACCAUGGUGACAACGGGUAACGGGGAAU